rnacentral:rRNA from 1 species
AGAGUUUGAUCCUGGCUCAGGAUGAACGCUGGCGGCGUGCUUAACACAUGCAAGUCGAACGAUGAAAGCGGGAGCUUGCUCCUGCUGGAUUAGUGGCGAACGGGUGAGUAACACGUGAGUAACCUGCCCUUGACUCUGGGAUAAGCGUUGGAAACGACGUCUAAUACCGGAUACGACCUUCGGAGGCAUCUCCUGGGGGUGGAAAGAAUUUCGGUCAAGGAUGGACUCGCGGCCUAUCGGCUAGUUGGUGAGGUAAUGGCUCACCAAGGCGACAACGGGUAGCCGGCCUGAGAGGGUGACCGGCCACACUGGGACUGAGACACGGCCCAGACUCCUACGGGAGGCAGCAGUGGGGAAUAUUGCACAAUGGGCGCAAGCCUGAUGCAGCAACGCCGCGUGAGGGACGACGGCCUUCGGGUUGUAAACCUCUUUUAGUAGGGAAGAAGCGAAAGUGACGGUACCUGCAGAAAAAGCACCGGCUAACUACGUG